AGUUGCUGUCUUUUUACUUCUCCAGUCAUCAAAUCAUAGAUGAUGAAGUGAUGCAAUUGCAAAGUGUUUGGUAAAGAAGUUGGUCGGUUGGUUUCGUGGUUCGAAAGCAGUUUAAUUCUUAUUAUUUUCUCCGGUUUUUCUGAGUUUUUCACUCUUAUCAUAUUUUCUUGACAAAUUAAGUGCGGGCGGAAACGGGACUAUUGCGGUAUAGAAGUAAAAUUGUGCUAAUUGCAAAACAAUGAAAUUUACUACGUAAACCUAAGAAAGCUGUGGUGGAGGUGGUGGAAGUAAAGAAGCUUUAAAAAUUGUGAAUACAAUUCGAAGUGAAAAUCCAAGGAAUGGAAAGGAAAGUGAAGUGAAAAAGUAUACACAAACUAAACAAUGAAGUUUGAUUUAAACCUUCUAAAGCAGUAUUCAUAUUAUUUUGUUGUUGAAUAAAGAAGGAAAUAUUUCUAAGUGGGUUAAAAAGGUAGUGUUCUUGUGAUAAACAAUAGAAAAAUGCAUGGAAUGCGAGUAACAGAAGUACGCAGAGUUUUUGUAUUUUUUCUCAUUGUGAAUGCAUUGAUGCAUUAUGAUGUACGAGCACUUGCAGCAAGCGAUGUAGAGCAGGUAGUGGACAAGGAGGAAUCCAGUGCAGCACGAGUGGCCACAGAUGUGACUACGAAUAUGACAACAGGAAUACCACGAAUUCCUCCCCCACGGGUGAAGUUAAACAAAUGUUGUCGAUACAAUGAGCACAUGAAUUUAAAUGAGACCUGUGUUAUGGGCAACUCCGAAUUAUGGGUGCCCCUGAUUUUUCUGAUUAAUCGAAGACAAUAUUAUACACCACAAGGGGGUAAACCCAAAUUCAUGACGUUCCAAGAAAAUGUCCGCCCCAUGGUGGAUGCAACCAGCAUUAUUUCAAUGCAGGAUGUGGAGGCGGAAAACUACGUAAAAGAGCAAAAACGUAAUUGUACGUCGGAUGAAUUGGAAUUUUUUUCAGCUGGCGGAAAUUGGUUAAUAUUCUCAAAUGGCUCGUUAUUUUUGGGGGAACGCAAGCAGUUUAUUGAACCGCAACGCUUUUGUGUCGAUCGAAAUGGCGUACUCGUCUGCUUUCCUCGCGAGAGUAAUGGUAAGCAACGAAUAAAGAUAAGAAAAUGCUGCGGAUGGAAUGGUAUUUAUGAUGCUGCAAAGAAACAAUGCAUAUUUCCUGGCAGCCAUAGUGACGCUAAUGCCAUCGCUACUGCUGAGUUGCCAUUGAAUAAGAGUUUGUACGAGACAAUAUACGGGUUUCCUGCAUGCCACAAAAAAGAUAUACCUUAUGCUAUUGCUGGAGAUUGGCAUGAAAACCAACUGGAUAGUGACAAUGGAAAUCUUAAAUUAGCCCAUAAACAAAUAGCUACAGGUGAUUAUUGUCUAGAGCAUUUGAGCAAAAACGAUGCAAUUGUCGCAAUCAAAAUAUUCACUUGCCUUCAUCACUUCUCUACUGAGGCUCCUGCCAAUGCUAUUGCUGCAGUGGGUAGCACAUCCAGUGACAGAAUACAAGUAGCUGCGCUCAAUAUUGGCAUUGUGAUUUCAGUCGUUUUCUUGGGUGCCACAUUGGUUGCUGGUUAUAUGAUGCCAUCUGUCCAUCAUAUGCUACACUGGCGUUGUCAGAUUUACUAUGUUUUUUGCUUGUUCGUUGGAGACUUAAUACUCGCCUAUACACAACUAUCACGGACACUUGAACAUGGCUCGUUAACCUGUCUACAUUUGGCCAGCAUAAUGCACUUCUUCUUUCUAUCGGCUUUCUUUUGGCUCAAUACAAUGUGCUUCAACAUCUGGUGGACUUUUCGCGAUUUUCGGCCGAGUUCGCUCGAACGUAAUCAAGAGUUGUUGCGGUUACGCCUUUAUUCAGCAUACGCUUGGGGUGUACCGUUGUUGAUAAGCGCUAUCGCGUACAUCGUAGAUCAUUUGCCUGAAACUCAGUUAUUACGACCCGGCUUUGGCGAACGCAGUUGCUGGUUUAGCGGAGAGCACUUAUCGAUAUUUGCGUAUUUCUUUGGACCAAUUGGACUUCUACUAUGCGUUAAUAUUAUGCUUUUCAUAUCAACAACGCAUCAAUUGACAUGCGGUUUGUGGAAACGUGAUGAUGUCAAAUCGACCACUGAGAAGACAGCGCUGGGCAAAGUGUGCUUGAAGCUGGUUGUGGUAAUGGGUGUCACCUGGAUAGCCGACGUGAUUUCUUGGCUGGUUGGCGGACCAUAUUCUGCUUGGUUUUUCACCGAUAUGAUAAAUGCCUUGCAGGGCGUAUUUAUUUUCAUUGUAGUAGGUUGUCAACCGCAAGUAUGGGCUGCCUGCAAGCGUUUUUGCUGUCCACGUUCCCGUCAAGAGAUUACAAAUACAACAAAUGGUGUUCAGCAUUCAAGUUCAUCCCAGGGUCUUCCGUCGGUGGGGGGAUAUGCUGGUGGCGAACACACGCAAAAUACUUCUGUGAAUACGACGACCAUUAGUAGUACCCAGUUGCAGACUAAAACCAAAAUACCAAUGGAAACAGUAUGUUAAGUAUUUCUUCAACGAAAGCACAAUUUCAUUUCGCAGACGUCGGCAGUUUAUUCACACCGAUAUAUACACAACAUACCAUAGCAGCAGUUGAACUGGACGGCGGAGUACGCGUCGAAUGCCGAAGAUCAGAUCACUGCAAAGCAGUGAUUCCACAACAACAACAAUAACAAUGGUAAAAGUAAUUACUGCAAUAACAACAAUAUAGUAUUAACGUAAGCAAUAGCAAGCAACGCAGACGGGCGCGCAUCGCACGAUACUCGAAGAAGCAGACCAUGCUGCAAAAAGAGAGAGGAAAGCACGAAGCCAAAUGGGAUAAAAACGUUUGGUCUGGUUUGAACAUUACAUUCUGUGUAUGUAUGAAAUAAAAAGGCAAUUAUCAUUCAAAAAUUGCAUAUUAUAUAAUUUGUAAAUUUUAGCAAUUUGUAAGUCGUAAAAUAAGUAAUAAUACUUACAUAAAUAUGUAUGUAUGUAUAAAAACAUAUGUUGCUUACAUAUCUUUACGUAAUUAAAUAAACAAACAUACAUUUACAUACAUACACAGACACAUACAUACAUAUGUAGUCAGAGUCUCGGCAUCUCACAUGAAAAGCGCACACGCACUCACACAUUUCACACUUAGGGCGAGUUUACAUAGCCGGUCAGUCUUAUGAUCACAGUUCAAAGUUAGUUAACUGUCAUAUUUCGAGCACUUUUGAACUCAGUUUGUUGGAGCGAAGGGUGAAAUUCUCAGUGGCCAUUACUUUUGAGUGACAUUUCAUUCAUUUGGAAUCGGUGAUUCGUCGCGCCCACGUCGAAAUAUUCGCUGUCCGAUUUAUUUAUUUUUGUUGUUGUAGCAUUAUGAAAUACUUUUUACUGAUGCUGGAGUAAAUGCUCAGCGUGUACGGCUUUCAUUCUCGAUUAUGGCCAUUUUGCAAAUUUUUUGUAUCCAUAGAAUCGAGGAAAAUUAAAUGUGGUAAAAUAUACAUUUGUACAUAUAUCUCUCAUCAGUUGCAAGACUGUUAUAAUCCAAGAAAAUAUUUUUUUUUUUUGAUAAAUAUGCAGAAAUUACCACCAGCUUUUUUUUUUUGAGAUGUGUAAAAAUCAUGGCGAUGUCUAUUAACAGUAACUCUCUAGAUGAAAAUAUGUCUUUAUAGUAAAUACAUAGUAAAUUGAAAAUUUUGAAACCCCUUUUCUCGAUAUUUUGAAUUUUUUGGACUUUGCAGCAAAUCAACGAAAUAUACAAAGAUAACAAAUAAUAAAAUCUGAUAUGUCGAAAAUCUUAUAACUAAGUCAAGCCGUAAGGUAUUGUUGGAGCGAAACAGUAGUGGUACACUUUGUUAUGGGAAAAUCACUUGUUAGAAAAACACUUGUGUAAUUAUGGAAAGUAAAAACAUAGGGGGAUGCUAUCAAAAACGAAACGUAAGGAGUAGGGUAUGAAAAGUAAAAGGCGUGUGAUAAAUAGUUUGUGCAAAGCACGUUGUACAGAAUACAGAAGGUUGCGCCUUCCGUACACCGCUACUUAUAUGUCGCGAUUUUGACAACCGAUGACAUCAUCUCUGCUGAUAAACAAACAAAAGAAAGAGAAGUUAGUUACUUGUAAAUAUUCUGUGAAUGGCUUGGGAAUAUACUGAUUUUAAGAUUUGUGUUUUCUAAAUUAAACGAACUAAUAAAAACGCAGAGGCGAGGCGCGUGAUAAAUUGUGAAGCACGAAUUAUAACAAUAUCUUCAAAGGCAGGUUUUUUGUGUGUUUUUGCCGAUCCCGCCGUGGCAAGAAAGUGUGCGUGUGUAUGAUUUCUUGGCAGUUUCCAUUGUUUUCGCUUACUCUUCCGCUUCAAAAACAAGUAAUUUUUCUUCCUUUUGUUUGUUUAUCUGCAGAGAUGGCGUCACGGCGAAUUUAGAAGGCGCAAUCUUGUAAUGUACACUUUGUAUCAUACGAGUUUUAGUGGUUGAAAGAAAAUUCCGUGCCAGUAAUGAAGUGAAGUACAAAAUAGUGUGAUCACCAGCGAAUCGUUACACAUCGGAAAAUAAAGUCUUAGAAGAUUUUCGUUUGAAGGUCGUUUGAUGGAGGAACGUCAUAACUCACAAAUCGGAGGAACGCGGGUUUACAAUUUGCAGUUGGCUAUUAUUGCACCCUCAGCUGUAUUGCAAAAAAAUAUUUCUUCAAGAUUUUUUUCUAUAAAACAUUAAAUUUAUUUUUAAAAUCAAUUAAAAAUCUAAAAGUAUGUAACUCGAGUUUCAAAGUAAAAAAAGUUUUAAAUGUGAAAAAAGUAGAAACUAUAGACGAUCAAAGUAACGUCUUCCACAAAAAUAAGCAUAUAUUUGCCAUUUGAUAUAUCCUCGCUGAAAAUCACCCAAUUUUUUAUAAAAACAGAAAACGCACGAAGUGUCCUAUUGAUAUGUCAACUUCUUAAAAAAAACAUGCCAAAAAGGCACUAUAAAACGGAAUAAAAAAUGGCCGAUAUGACAGUUUUAGGACACGAAAUUUUUUUAUAAAAUAUUGCACUGGGUCCCAUACUUUGAGGGUACUUAAAAUACUAAGUAGCAGAAGAGAACUAUUGAAAAAUGAACGACGAUAGUUGAUUUAUUAUUAUCGAAAAUAUUAAAAGGGUGAGACAAACCACUCUUACGGCACGACAAUAGGCGGUUGUAAAUAUUAUUUUUUGACAAAACUAUUCGCCGUAGAACUUUUCGUAUCUAUUUAUGUUUAGUAGAUUUGAUGAAUAUCACAAAUAUUAUUAAAAAUUAAUCGACAGUUCCUCCUGGACGCUCGUUCACUAUGGACGCAAUAGGCACCUCAAUUUUUAUCUGAAACAAGUAAAUGCAAAUUUUUUUUGCUGCUUGAUAAAUUGUAUGCAUUAAAAAAAUCAUUACGCAAAUAGGUGUACUUAAUUUUUUUUUUUU